GAACCGCAGAAGCAACGGAGAAAGAUCAACGUAGAGAUAUGUCUACACUACACUACACUCAAACAAAAAGGAGAUAUGUCUCGGUCAAAAAGAAUAAAAGAAGGUUGAAAUCAAAAACAGUAAAAGAAGGUUCUUCGGUCAAUGGAGAAAAAGGAGAAGAGAAAAAAGAUUCGGCACACAACAUAAAGAAAAGGGAAAAGAGAAGGGCAAAAAAUGGCAACAAGAGAAGAAGAAAUCGAAAAGAAAGAAGAAAAAAAAGAUGAGGGAGGAAAGUCUGUUCGGCCAAAAAGAAAUUAGGUAAAAACAACCCGAGAGGUACCCCAAACUAACAAAAACGAC
rnacentral:lncRNA from 1 species